rnacentral:lncRNA from 1 species
GUCUUGCUAAAACGACCUCAAAAUGGAUGAUGCCUAGCAUCUUGAAGUCUUCCUGGAACCUCCCUUGCAGCUACACAUUGUUCAGACUCCAUAAAAUCGUCAUGAUGAAUAAAGUCUAGAAAACUACAGAGACAAAACUGCGCUUAUCACAUCCUUUGCUCGCAUGCAGGAUCAUGAACUUUAGGAUAAGCAACCUAACAAUUAAUUGGAACUCUUAGUCAAAGCGAAUGGGGUAAUCUCAGGCAGACCGCACUUCAAAGAAGCUUGCAAGAUUGAACUGCUGAAGCUUAAUGACAGAUUUUACAACUAUAAACUGUAGUCAGAAAAACAUUAAAAAUGGAUAUAUUCUUACCAACAACCCAGUGAAUGAGACAUGAUGGUCCGAGAUAAAUAGAGCAAUGCUCUUUGCUAGAGAAAAGAACGCAUGCAGAUUUUUUUCUUAUAACAUGUAUACAUAAAGAGAAUUAAAUUAGAUGAUAAAAUAAAUAGAGGAAUGCUCUUCCCUGAGGAAAACAAACGCAUGCAUAUUUUUACUUAUACAUAGCAUAUACAUACAGAGAAUUAAACUAGAUGGUAACAGAAAUUGCACAAGCAUCAGUCAGAAUUUACCUUUUCAUAUAGGAGUUUAUGAUAUUUGAAGUUCAAAGUGUCUGGCUACUGUGCUCCCAUUUUAUGUCUACAUUUUUUUCAUCUGAAUUGCUAUGUGUAGUUGGCAUACUGUUAAUUUACUGAUCUGGAUCUAACGUCAGGCAUAUUUGGGGUAUGUGCCUAAAAGUGUCUACAUUUUAUCUCUUCUGUUAUGCUUGCAUAAUGUAAAAAUGGAUCAAGGAAUUUGUAGAUUCAGAGCGCUCACCAAUACUCCUGCAAUCUCUUUAGUGGGUUUCUUUGUCUGGGUCACUAUCUACUUAUGCUAGUUAUGCUACCUGUUGCUAGAUGGAUGGAUACAUUAUUAAAUAGGUUGAUGCUUUAUUCCACAUCUAUAUCUAAAGGAACUGACCUUUUGAAUCAUUGCUGACAGUCUAGUAAAUCACAGGAGAAGGACCAUUAAAUUACUCCAUGCGCUGAGCUGAAACAUAUUGGCAUAUCACUGAGGAAAAGAAAGAAACUACAAAAUUGACUAAUUUAAUGAUAGAAUUACACGCAUAGUUCUUUAUUUCCAGAUAUACCAUUUCCAAAGACCAAAUAGAGCUGAAAUUAUAUUAGUGGCCCAGGUAAAUAAAAUAGGGGCGUUGUAGGUGCUUGUUACCAUUAACUACAGCUGAGAUUAAAAUAAGGCCCAGGUAAAAAAAUACAGAGGCAUCAUAUCGUAGGUACUUGUUAGUAUACCAUAAACUAUGCUGAAAUCAUAGUAGGGGGCUAGGGGCAUGGUAGGU